rnacentral:rRNA from 1 species
UACGAAGGGUGCAAGCGUUAAUCGGAAUUACUGGGCGUAAAGGGUGCGUAGGCGGUUCGUUAAGUCUGUUGUGAAAUCCCCGGGCUCAACCUGGGAAUGGCAAUGGAUACUGGCGGGCUAGAGUGUGUUAGAGGAUGGUGGAAUUCCCGGUGUAGCGGUGAAAUGCGUAGAGAUCGGGAGGAACACCAGUGGCGAAGGCGGCCAUCUGGAUCAACACUGACGCUGAGGCACGAAAGCGUGGGGAGCAAACAGG